rnacentral:rRNA from 1 species
CGGGAACCGGAGCUAAUACCGGAUAAUAUAUUGAACCGCAUGGUUCAAUAGUGAAAGACGGUUUUGCUGUCACUUAUAGAUGGAUCCGCGCUGCAUUAGCUAGUUGGUAAGGUAACGGCUUACCAAGGCAACGAUGCGUAGCCGACCUGAGAGGGUGAUCGGCCACACUGGAACUGAGACACGGUCCAGACUCCUACGGGAGGCAGCAGGC